UAUAAGAAAACAAGGGAGAAAAAGUCACUGACUCUAUUGAUGCAUUGGUCUGUUAACUCAGUGGCUCCCAUAUUUUGUCCAAAUAUAGAAAACCAAGGAAAUUUGUCUUUAAGACAAGAAACAGCAGUUGGAAAGGGUGUUAUCUGGAAGAAAGUAAUAUAACAAAUAAACAAAAUGAAUACACAGUCAUGUUUCCUGAACUAGGCACACAUAUAUCUGGGCUGCUCAAACGCUAAACAACCAUGAAAUGAUAGCAAAGAAUUUGUCCUUUACGUAUCUGUUACCAUUCUUGGCUGCAAACAUCUAAAAAAACUCAAUGUUUUUGCAACCACAAUAUAGUAACUGCACUCUGAACUGCAAACUGAUUAACCAAGUCUAGCAUCAUUUUCAAUUACAUGAAUUAAUUAAUGCAAAUAAUUUAGAGUUCAAGGUGUACAGAAAUUGGGCUGAGUGCUAUGUGAUUCAAUCAACCAUGGUUAAUGACAAGCAAACAACCAGUUUCUAUUUUCUACUUCCACUACAGCUAUUUUGCUCCAUGUUUUUUUUCCUCAUGGGCACAUUAUGUAAUUUAUUGAGUGUUAAUACAGAAAUGAUUCAACAUUACGUUUUUAAAAUUUUCCAAGUUAGUUUAGAGACCUAGUAAGCCUUGGUGGUCUCCAAUCCGUGUACUAAGCCAAUUUGAUCCUAGCUAGUUUUGGGAGUUCAGACAAGAUCAGUUUACCAACAAUGGUGUUUGGCUGGACAAUGAUACAUUUUGUCCAGUAGGGGGAGCAUUUACCUCAGGAUUAGUUAAAUAUAUAAUUUCAUGGAAUUAGAUGUGGAAAUAAUCUGCUUUGUUCAACUUUAUAUUAUAUUUUGAAGUCCAGGCGAAUAUUAAAUGUUUUCUUUUGGAAGCAGUAUACAAAAAUUAAAGUUUUAUCAUUUUAAACUGUGUUAUUCUCCCAAAGAAACAUUGAAAAAUACAAAUAAACAAUAAAUAUGCACAGCAACAAUUAAAAACAAUCUCUUAAAUACUAUUAAUAUAUUUAUAUUACGUUAGACAUUAGACUGGCCUCUACUCUAACACUCUUUUGGAAGGCACUGAAGAGAAUUGAAAAACAAAAAUUAGCUGUAUACCAGCACAAACUAACCGUAGUUUCACAGGGGAAGCUGGUCGUAGUAAUAAUUACUUCUUCAACCUGUUUUAUCACCUUCUGACAUAUUUUUACAGGAUUUCUACCAGAGGUGGUAUUCAGCCAGUUCUGACAGGUUCUGGAGAGCCGGUAGCGGAAAUUUGAGUAGUUCGGAGAACCGGCAAAUAGGCUGGCCCAGCCCUCACUGCUUCCCAGCCAAUCUUCUUUUAUUGCCCUGAACAGGAGAAUGGAGCUGGAAAGCAGAAAACAAAUGAAUCAUAAGAUCUGCCCGCUGAAAAACAAAGAAAACAUUCUGUGUUUGUGCGUCUCCCCUGCAAGAUUUAAGGUAGUCCUCAACUUACAACCACAAUUGAGACCAAAAUUUCCA